CCUACGGGGUGCAGCAGUGGGGAAUAUUGCACAAUGGGCGCAAGCCUGAUGCAGCGACGCCGCGUGCGGGAUGGAGGCCUUCGGGUUGUAAACUUCUUUUCUCAGGGACGAAGCAAGUGACGGUACCUGAGGAAUAAGCCACGGCUAACUACGUGCCAGCAGCCGCGGUAAUACGUAGGUGGCAAGCGUUAUCCGGAUUUACUGGGUGUAAAGGGCGUGUAGGCGGGACUGCAAGUCAGAUGUGAAAACCACGGGCUCAACCUGUGGCCUGCAUUUGAAACUGUAGUUCUUGAGUACUGGAGAGGCAGACGGAAUUCCUAGUGUAGCGGUGAAAUGCGUAGAUAUUAGGAGGAACACCAGUGGCGAAGGCGGUCUGCUGGACAGCAACUGACGCUGAGGCGCGAAAGCGUGGGGAGCAAACAGGAUUAGAUACCCUUGUAGUC
rnacentral:rRNA from 1 species